AUGGAAUACAAACAGGAGGGAGGCGUCGAGGGAUCUUAUUAUAGCUACCCAUUGGAAACGAGGGCUAGAAAAGGUCAUGCAGCUGUCAUCCCACCCCGGAGCCCUCUCGUCCAGCGCACGGCCGCCCCCUCCCCCUCUCCUAGUUGUAGACAUACAGAUAUCGUUUCCUCCCCCGUCUCGUCUCUUCCCAGGCAGAGAGAGGAGGGCGAGGCGUGUUAUGGAAGCGCAUCUUUCCACCCCGAGCGAGAGGAGAGAUCAAUUAGCGGGGACAGGCGGCGGGAGGUGUCUGUGCAAGGGCGCGAGCCGGAGCCGGAUCGGACCAAGCCGUCCCGGCCAAAAGCACUGCUGACCGCGUACCAAUCGGGUAAAGUCUCCUUAAGAGUCCAGGGUAGCUCAGCUAUCGAUAGUUCGUUUCAUCCCGGUUUUACUUGGCGACUCCCCUCGAGACCCAAACAGCAAGGCCGGGAGGAGGAGGAGGACUUCGCGUGCGCGGUGCCGCGUGGUUGCGUCCUAGAGCUAGAAGAAGAGAUGGCGGCGACGGCGGCGGCAUCGUCGUCGUCCCCCGCUGGCGGCGCCUCGUCACCGGCGCAGGCGCCGGGCGGAGGCGGCGGAGGAGGAGGCGGCGGCGGCGGGGUGCCGUACCACCGGUCGCGGUUCGGCGAUACGACGCUGACCAAGGUGUUUGUCGGCGGGCUGGCGUGGGAGACGCCGUCCGCGGGGCUGCACGACCACUUCCGGGAGUACGGCGAGAUACUCGAGGCGGUCGUCAUCACCGAUCGCGAAACCGGCCGAUCCAAGGGCUACGGAUUCGUGACGUUCCGGGACCCGGAGGCGGCGCAGCAGGCGGUGCAGAACCCGAACCCGAUGAUCGCCGGCCGGCGCGCCAACUGCAACAUUGCGUCCAUGGGCCCGCCGCGACCGUCGCCGCAGAGAGGGAGGGCCCCGCGCGGGCCGGAUCAGCAGCACUCGGGCCCGCAGCCAUACAUGGGCGGCAGGAUGCAGCAGCAGAUGCCCACCCCGCCUCACGCCAUGUUCUACAACCCUUCGCCGUACGGGUACUGGUACCCACCUGAUUAUCAAUACCAGCAGGCCUUUUACAAUCAAAUGCAGCAAUACUACUCUCAGCAGUAUGGCCAAACAUCCCCUUCAACAUCACCAUACCCAUACAUGGGGUACAUGACAAGUGGCCAGAAUCCAAGGGCCGGCUUCUCGCCAUUGCAGCACCAAGCUGCUCGGCCACCGUUCUUUCAGCAGCAGAGCGAGGGUUCGUUCCAGGCAGCGCCUUCACUCCCUCCUAAUUUCAGACUCCAGUUGCCCCCUCGUGCAAUCUCAAGGCAGUCUGACGAUGUAUCCGGUUCACAACCAACUCAGACAGUAUCUGAGGCUGAGGCUACAAACACAGAUAACCAAGAAGCGUCAGCGCCUGUUGAAAGAUCAAAUUCAGAGGAAAACACCUCGAACUGA
rnacentral:rRNA from 1 species